GACGAACGCUGGCGGCGUGCUUAACACAUGCAAGUCGAACGGUGAAGGUGGAGAGCUUGCUCUCUACUGGAUCAGUGGCGAACGGGUGAGUAACACGUGGGUAACCUGCCCCGAACUCUGGGAUAACUGCUGGAAACGGUAGCUAAUACUGGAUACGACCUACGAAGGCAUCUUCUGUAGGUGGAAAGAAUUUCGGUUCGGGAUGGACUCGCGGCCUAUCAGCUUGUUGGUGAGGUAAUGGCUCACCAAGGCGACGACGGGUAGCCGGCCUGAGAGGGUGACCGGCCACACUGGGACUGAGACACGGCCCAGACUCCUACGGGAGGCAGCAGUGGGGAAUAUUGCACAAUGGGCGCAAGCCUGAUGCAGCGACGCCGCGUGAGGGAUGACGGCCUUCGGGUUGUAAACCUCUUUCAGCACCGACGAAGCGCAAGUGACGGUAGGUGCAGAAGAAGGACCGGCCAACUACGUGCCAGCCGCCGCCGUAA
rnacentral:rRNA from 1 species